CCUANGGGGGGCUGCAGUAACGAAUCUUCCGCAAUGCACGAAAGUGUGACGGAGCGACGCCGCGUGUGGGAUGAAGUCCUUCGGGAUGUAAACCACUGUCAGGGGUUAGAAAGUUCUGAUCAACCCCAGAGGAAGAGGCGGCUAACUCUGUGCCAGCAGCCGCGGUAAUACAGAGGCCUCGAGCGUUAGGCGGAAUCACUGGGCUUAAAGCGUGUGUAGGCGGAUUGCUAAGUACCUUGUGAAAUCCCACGGCUUAACCGUGGAACGGCUGGGUAUACUGGCUGUCUUGAGCCACUUAGGGGCGACCGGAACAAAUGGUGGAGCGGUGAAAUGCGUAGAUAUCAUUUGGAACGCCAAUGGUGAAAACAGGUCGCUGGGAGUGUGCUGACGCUGAGACACGAAAGCCAGGGGAGCAAACGGGAUUAGAUACCCGGNUANUC
rnacentral:rRNA from 1 species